ACAGGCGCAGUCUACCUGAAACUUCAGUGAUUAAAAAAUGUGAAGAUCCAUAUGACUAUAUAGAGAAACCUGAGGAUGAAAUGUAUAGUAAGAUUGAUGAAAUUGAUAUUCAAAAUUAUUCUAACGCCUAUGCCUUGCCUGAAGUGUAUUCACAAGAAUGACAUUCUAAUUAUUUAAAUAUCAACGAAAACAGAAACGAAGCCCAAAAUGAGAAACCGCUCUCACCAUUUUGAUGACACGUUUGAAGUUCAAGGUGGCUACAACUCCACGUCAAAGC
rnacentral:sRNA from 1 species